rnacentral:rRNA from 1 species
GAGUUUGUCGUGGCUCAAGAUUGAACGCUGGCGGCAUGCCUUACACAUGCAAGUCGAACGGCAGCACGGGAGCUUGCUCCUGGUGGCGAGUGGCGAACGGGUGAGUAAUGCAUCGGAACGUAUCCUGGAGUGGGGGAUAACGUAGCGAAAGUUACGCUAAUACCGCAUAUUCUGUGAGCAGGAAAGCGGGGGACCUUCGGGCCUCGCGCUCUUGGAGCGGCCGAUGUCGGAUUAGCUAGUUGGUGAGGUAAAAGGCUCACCAAGGCGACGAUCCGUAGCAGGUCUGAGAGGAUGAUCUGCCACACUGGAACUGAGACACGGUCCAGACUCCUACGGGAGGCAGCAGUGGGGAAUUUUGGACAAUGGGGGCAACCCUGAUCCAGCCAUGCCGCGUGAGUGAAGAAGGCC